GGGCCCGUGGUCUAGUUGGAAAGGACGCCGGCUUGCGGAGCCGGAGGACGUGGGUUCAAAUCCCACCGGGCCCA
rnacentral:tRNA from 2 species